UACGGAAGGCAGCAGUGGGGAAUAUUGCACAAUGGGCGAAAGCCUGAUGCAGCUAUGCCGCGUGUAUGAAGAAGGCCUUAGGGUUGUAAAGUACUUUCAUCGGGGAGGAAAAAACAAAAACUAAUAAUUUUAUUUCUUGACGUUACCCGAAAAAGAAGCACCGGCUAACUCCGUGCCAGCAGCCGCGGUAAUACGGAGGGUGCUAGCGUUAAUCAGAAUUACUGGGCGUAAAGAGCACGUAGGUGGUUUUUUUAAGUCAGAUGUGAAAUCCCUGGGCUUAACCUAGGAACUGCAUUUUGAAACUGAAAUACUAGAGUAUCGUAGAGGGAGGUAGAAUUCUAGGUGUAGCGGUGAAAUGCGUAGAUAUCUGGAGGAAUACCUGUGGCGAAAGCGGCCUCCUAAACGAAUACUGACACUGAGGGUGCGAAAGCGUGGGGAGCAAACAGGGAUUAGAUACC
rnacentral:rRNA from 1 species